rnacentral:rRNA from 1 species
UACGGAGGGUGCAAGCGUUAUCCGGAUUCACUGGGUUUAAAGGGUGCGUAGGUGGGCAGGUAAGUCAGUGGUGAAAUCUCCGGGCUUAACCCGGAAACUGCCGUUGAUACUAUUUGUCUUGAAUAUAGUGGAGGUGAGCGGAAUAUGUCACGUAGCGGUGAAAUGCUUAGAUAUGACAUAGAACAUCGAUUGCGAAGGCAGCUCGCUACACUAUUAUUGACACUGAGGCACGAAAGCGUGGGGAUCAAACAGG